CCCUCUACUCCUACGGGAGGCAGCAGUGGGGAAUAUUGCACAAUGGGCGGAAGCCUGAUGCAGCGACGCCGCGUGAGGGAUGACGGCCUUCGGGUUGUAAACCUCUUUCAGUAGGGAAGAAGCGAAAGUGACGGUACCUGCAGAAGAAGCGCCGGCUAACUACGUGCCAGCAGCCGCGGUAAUACGUAGGGCGCAAGCGUUAUCCGGAAUUAUUGGGCGUAAAGAGCUCGUAGGCGGUUUGUCGCGUCUGCCGUGAAAGUCCGGGGCUCAACUCCGGAUCUGCGGUGGGUACGGGCAGACUAGAGUGAUGUAGGGGAGACUGGAAUUCCUGGUGUAGCGGUGAAAUGCGCAGAUAUCAGGAGGAACACCGAUGGCGAAGGCAGGUCUCUGGGCAUUAACUGACGCUGAGGAGCGAAAGCAUGGGGAGCGAACAGGAUUAGAUACCCUGGUAGUCCAUGCCGUAAACGUUGGGCACUAGGUGUGGGGGACAUUCCACGUUUUCCGCGCCGUAGCUAACGCAUUAAGUGCCCCGCCUGGGGAGUACGGCCGCAAGGCUAAAACUCAAAGGAAUUGACGGGGGCCCGCACAAGCGGCGGAGCAUGCGGAUUAAGUCGAUGCAACGCGAAGAACCUUACCAAGGCUUGACAUGAACCGGUAAGACCUGAAACCAUUCCCCCCCAC
rnacentral:rRNA from 1 species